AGAGUAGGCGCAGGCGGUUGCAGAUCAGUUUCGUUGAAGCUGGUUUGAGGAAAGUCCGGGCUCCCGAAAGACCAAACCUGCUGGGUAACGCCCAGUGCGAGCGAUCGCGAGGAUAGUGCCACAGAAAGAUACCGCCAAAAUCAGUGAACAGUUAUCAGUAAACAGUAAACAGGGAAUACCUGAUAACUGAUAACUGAUACCUGAUAACUGAAAAAGGUAAGGGUGCAAAGGUGCGGUAAGAGCGCACCAGCACGACCGAGAGGUCGUGGCUCGGUAAACCCCGGUUGGGAGCAAGGUCACAAGGAACUACGGUUGGUCUUUUACCAGUUCCGUCAUAAGAGCCGCUUGAGGCGUCUGGUAACAGGCGUCCCAGAUAGAUAACUGCCCUCUAAAUGUAGAGACGUAGUAUGCUACAUUUCUACAAAAGAGAACAGAACCCGGCUUACGUUCCGACUCUCUCC
rnacentral:RNase_P_RNA from 1 species